rnacentral:lncRNA from 1 species
UCAUAGCAGCAUUAUGAAUUGAUGUCUGUGAUCCAGAACUACACUUUUCUGAGUAUUUACUUGAUUGCUUUCCCAUUCCCUUUUCCCUCAAUGUGCUGAGCUCUAAUUUGGGUCUGUUGGUGUCCUGAUCACCAUUCAGACUUGAGUUUGACUCUAUAAGAGACUACUCUUAUUUGUUUGAAUUUGAGCAAGAGGUUAGG